ensembl:snoRNA
UGGAUCAGUGAUGACGACUGGUGGCGUAUGAGUCAUGGAUGAUGAAUACGUGUCUGGAACUCUGAGGUCCAA